AUUCAGGAGAGACUGUUCCUUUUAUCCCAUGAUUGCCUAUUUUGAUAAAGAGCCUUUGGUGUGGAACUUCAUCAAAGGCUUUCUGAAAGUCCAAAAUCUGCCACAAAGAGGAAACAAUGGAGUUUUGGAAACAAGGGAGGAGCUGACAGAGAUGCUCCGGAUCCAGCAGAUUGUUUGCUGUCAGGAAACGUUGAAGCUGAACACAAGGCUUUCAUUGCAGAUUUCUAUCAAAAGACCUAAAAUUAGUGGCAUCAGGAAGGAAGGAUGUAGGUGUAUCGCUAUUGCCUUGCCUCUUUCCAGCCUGUAAUUGAGGGUUCCGAAGGGCAGUGCAUAGUUUGUCUUUGGUGAAGAACUCGGCUCCAAAGGUUAAGAAGUCUCUGUACAGUCACCCUUUGCCGACUACUGCAAGCUGAUAAGAUAACAAUGGGAGUGACUGUGGGGAGUGGCGGGUGUCGGCUCACAGCUUCUCCUUUGCAGCUGGGCUCUUAGCACUGCCGAGUACAUGUGAGGCUGCACCUGAUACCCGAG